CACCAACCAGGUCAGACUAAAAGAAGAACGUGGCUGUGUUGGCAAGCCGACCUUCUGUUCUUCCUUGAUCAACUAUGCUGAUUCAGACCUUUUUGAAGCCUCAGCUCCAAGGCCCUCUUCGGCUCAAUGCUGUUUCCAGCCUUCCAGCUGCUGCAGUCUUACCUUAUAAGGUGACCCUGGGAGAGCUACCACCCUAGUUCAUCAACUGCUGACUAACUGCUACCAAUGAGAAGAUAAACUCGAGAGCCCCUGGGAGUGGUAGUGCCUCACAGAUGGUGGUCCUGCUUCUGGGCUAGCUCUGAGACCUAUCAUACUGAAAAUCUCCAUACAGGGAAUUUGGCCUGGCAACUGCUUCUCCAGGUGCUGUGACCACAGCUACGGAGGGAGGGCUUGUCCCACCAAAGCCCUUUGCACUGCCUAAUGAUUCAGUGUAAGAAAAUGAUAGGAUUUCAUCAGUGGAAAUGACAGUAGAUGUGUUACCAUCUGCUUUGCCACAGCACCCUAAGGACCAUGGGACUUGACCAUCUGACACAGUUGAAACCUUCUGUAUGUGUUGUCUUCCCUAUUAAAAUGUGAAUUCCUUGA